AACCUUCAGUGGCCAUGGAAACCAAAAUGCCACACAAAAGCCAGAGGGUGCUUGGGAGGUAAACAAGAUAGAUGAAAGGUGAUGGUGCUUUUAAUCUCCACAAUCAAUGUGUUUAGACACCUAGCAGGAUGAAACAACUGGAAACAAUGGCACUCAGUAAGGAAACCUUUUCCAUCAAGAAGCCUUGGAGCAGUUUUGUGAAAACUGGUUUUGAUUUGGGUACUUAAGAUGAAGGAAAAGUUUGCCACAAUCUCCUUCAUUGACCUGAUGCUGGACAAUGGUUUGGAUUACCCAAGGGAAAGAGUCGGGUGCAGCAGAACUGAUGCUCCUCAGUCAGUGAUCUGCUGAGACCAGGUGAACAGAGAGCAAAUGGGAUAUGGUGGACUGGGAAAGAAGAGGGAGUCCUUUCCUUCUUCCCGACUAACUAGAGCAUCUGAGCUGGAGAUGACAGGGGAGUAGCUCAAUGCUGAUGAAAGCCUGCAGCAAAUUAGUAGCAUUUGGGAGAAAAAAGGAAACAAGAAGGAAAUCGUGC